UACGUAGGGGGCAAGCGUUGUCCGGAAUUAUUGGGCGUAAAGAGCGCGUAGGCGGUCCGAUAAGUCGGCUGUGAAAGUCCAGGGCUCAACCCUGGAAAGCCGGCCGAUACUGUCGGACUAGAGUCCGGAAGAGGCGAGUGGAAUUCCCGGUGUAGCGGUGAAAUGCGCAGAUAUCAGGAAGAACACCAAUGGCGAAGGCAGCUCUCUGGGACGGUACUGACGCUGAGACGCGAAAGCGUGGGGAGCGAACAGG
rnacentral:rRNA from 1 species